rnacentral:misc_RNA from 1 species
UAUUUUGGAGAUUUUAUUAACUAUCAUCAACUUGUAUUUUGUUUCUUAAUAUAUUCUGGCAUGUUUAUAAUAUUUUAUUGUUCAAUCUUAUUCAGUGCCAUGGUUAACAUGCUUAACAUGCUUUCUGAUUGCUGAUUGAUGUUAUUAAUAUUGAUGAUGCUGGACUGUUCUGUUUGUGAUGAGUAAAAAUUUCCUUUUUGGGAUUGAAAUAUACUAUGAAAUUUCAUUAUUCAAAGUUAUGGUUUGUCUCUCCGCCUGAUAUGCCAUCAGCUGGGGCGAAUGCUCGUAAUUUCUUACAUUUAAAUUGUAAAAAAUUAUUAUUCGUUGCUUUUGUUAUGAGGUGAUUGAGUUUAGGGUAAUGGCAUAUGAACCAUCUCUUCAAUGAUUUGAAUACUUUAUAUAACAAACUAUUUACAGCAUCUGACUAUGGUUUUAAUAUCAUUAGUGAUAAUUAAUAUGUUAAUCCCUUUGAUUACAAGACAGGUUUCGAGUACCACAAAAAUGGUGGCACUUUUUGAGUUUGGUGUCCAAGGGCUUUCUAGUAUUAAGCAUUCUUCCUAAAUUUAUAUUUUG